UACGUAGGGUGCAAGCGUUAAUCGGAAUUACUGGGCGUAAAGGCUCGUAGGCGGCCAACUAAGUCAGACGUGAAAUCCCUCAGCUUAACUGGGGAACUGCGUCUGAUACUGGAUGGCUUGGAUUCGGGAGAGGAAUGCGGAAUUCCAGGUGUAGCGGUGAAAUGCGUAGAUAUCUGGAGGAACACCGGUGGCGAAGGCGGCAUUCUGGACCGACAUUGACGCUGAGGAGCGAAAGCCAGGGGAGCAAACGGG
rnacentral:rRNA from 1 species